rnacentral:rRNA from 1 species
AGAUAUGAUCCAGAGUACCACGGGACACGUGAAACCCUGUGGGAAGCAGGAGGGACCACCCUCCAAGGCUAAAUACUACCUAGUGACCGAUAGCGUAUAGUACCGUGAGGGAAAGGUGAAAAGAACCCCGGGAGGGGAGUGAAAUAGAACCUGAAACCCUGCACUUACAAGCUGUGGAAGCACAUUUCUUGUGUGACCGCGUACUUUUUGUAGAACGGGCCAACGAGUUACGUUAAGUAGCAAGGUUAAGCACUUAAGGUGCGGAGCCGUAGCGAAAGCGAGUUUUAACUGAGCGUUCAGUUACUUGACGUAGACCCGAAACCGGGCGACCUACCCAUGAGCAGGAUGAAGCGAAAGUAAAAUUUCGUGGAGGUCCGAACCCACGAGCGUUGAAAAGCUCGGGGAUGACUUGUGGGUAGCGGUGAAAUUCCAAUCGAGCCCGGAGAUAGCUGGUUCUCCCCGAAAUAGCUUUAGGGCUAGCCUCAAGGUGAGAGAUACGGAGGUAGAGCACUGAAUGUCCUAGGGGGUAUUGCACCUACCGAAGACUAUCAAACUCCGAAUGCCGUCAUCUUAUACUUGGGAGUCAGACUGUGGGUGAUAAGAUUCAUAGUCGAAAGGGCAACAGCCCAGAUCGUCAGCUAAGGUCCCUAAAUGUAAGUUAAGUGGUAAAGGAUGUGGGAUUGCACAGACAACCAGGAUGUUGGCUUAGAAGCAGCCACUCAUUCAAAGAGUGCGUAAUAGCUCACUGGUCGAGUGAUCCUGCGCCGAAGAUUUCCGGGGCUAAAACUUACUACCGAAGCUACGGCAUCAGUAAUGAUGGGUAGGGGAGCUUCCCAUACGGGUUGAAGCAUGACCGUAAGGACAUGUGGACAGUAUGGGAGUGAGAAUGUUGGCAUGAGUAGCGAGAUGUGGGUGAGAAUCCCACAGGCCGUAAACCCAAGGUUUCCAGGGGAAGGUUCGUCCGCCCUGGGUUAGUCGGGACCUAAGCUGAGGCCGAAAGGCGUAGGUGAUGGACAACAGGUUGAUAUUCCUGUACUACCGAUAACCGUUUGAGAGAAGGGAUGACACAGUAGGAUAAGCUAAGCACACUGUUGGUUAUGUGUGCCCAAGCAUUGAGGCAGUCAAAGUAGGCAAAUCCGCUUUGAUAAUGCUGGGAUGUGAUGGGGAGCGAAAUUUAGUAGCGAAGUAGCUGAUUUCACACUGUCAAGAAAAGUCUCUAUCGAGGUUAAAGGUACCCGUACCGCAAACCGACACAGGUGGGUGAGGAGAGUAUCCUAAGGCCAGCGAGAGAACUGUUGUUAAGGAACUCGGCAAAAUGACCCCGUAACUUAGGGAUAAGGGGUGCCACCAUCAGGUGGCCGCAGAGAAUAGGCCCAAGCGACUGUUUACCAAAAACAUAGGUUUCUGCUAAGUCGCAAGACGAUGUAUAGGAGCUGACGCCUGCCCGGUGCUGGAAGGUUAAGGGGAUCUGUUAGAGCAAUCGAAGCAGUGAACUUAAGCCCCAGUAAACGGCGGCCGUAACUAUAACGGUCCUAAGGUAGCGAAAUUCCUUGUCGGGUAAGUUCCGACCCGCACGAAAGGCGUAACGAUUUGGGCACUGUCUCAACAACAGACUCGGUGAAAUUGUAAUUCCGGUGAAGAUGCCGGAUACCUGCGACAGGACGGAAAGACCCCAUGGAGCUUUACUGUAGCUUGACAUUGGGUCUUGGUACUACAUGUACAGGAUAGGUGGGAGGCUUUGAAACCAGGACGCCAGUUUUGGCGGAGCCAUCCUUGGGAUACCACCCUUGUAGUACUGGGACUCUAACCAUAGGCCAUGAAUCUGGUCUUGGGACACUGUCAGG